CGGGGGGGGCAAGCGUUGUUCGGAAUUACUGGGCGUAAAGGGUGCGUAGGCGGUCCGCUAAGUUGGAUGUGAAAACUCUGGGCUUAACCCAGAGCCUGCAUUCAAAACUGACGGGCUAGAGUUCUGGAGGGGGUAGCGGAAUUCCUGGUGUAGCGGUGAAAUGCGUAGAUAUCAGGAGGAACACCGGUGGCGAAGGCGGCUACCUGGACAGAAACUGACGCUGAGGCACGAAAGCUAGGGGAGCAAACAGGAUUAGAUACCCUGGUAGUCCUAGCCCUAAACGAUGGAUACUUGGUGUGACCGGGAUUGAAUCCGGUCGUGCCGAAGCUAACGCAUUAAGUAUCCCGCCUGGGGAGUACGGUCGCAAGGCUG
rnacentral:rRNA from 1 species